rnacentral:rRNA from 1 species
GACGUAGGGGGCGAGCGUUGUCCGGAUUCAUUGGGCGUAAAGAGCGUGUAGGCGGCCAUGUAGGUCCGUUGUGAAAACUCGAGGCUCAACCUCGAGACGCCGAUGGAAACCAUGUGGCUAGAGUCCGGAAGAGGAGAGUGGAAUUCCUGGUGUAGCGGUGAAAUGCGCAGAUAUCAGGAAGAACACCCGUGGCUAAGGCGGCUCUCUGGGACGGUACUGACGCUGAGACGCGAAAGCGUGGGGAGCGAACAGG